rnacentral:rRNA from 1 species
UGCAGCCGCGGUAAUUCCAGCUCCAAUAGCGUAUAUUAAAGUUGUUGCAGUUAAAAAGCUCGUAGUUGAAUUUCGGGAUUAGUAGUCUGGUCGUGCCACUGGUAUGUACUGGUCUUACUGAUUUCUCCUUCUUGAAGAACCGUAAUGUCAUUAAUUUGUUAUUGCGGGGAAUCUGGACUGUUACUUUGAAAAAAUUAGAGUGUUUAAAGCAGGCUAACGCUUGAAUACAUUAGCGUGGAAUAAUGAAAUAGGUCGUUCGAUCCUAUUUUGUUGGUUUCUAGGAUUGACGUAAUGAUUAAUAGGGAUAGUUGGGGGCAUUAGUAUUCAAUUGUCAGAGGUGAAAUUCUUGGAUUUAUUGAAGACUAACUACUGCGAAAGCAUUUGCCAAGGAUGUUUUCAUUAAUCAAGAACGAAAGUUAGGGGAUCGAAGACGAUCAGAUACCGUCGUAGUCUUAACCAUAAACCUAUGCCGACUAG